GCCGGUUUGGCUCAAUGGGUAGAGCGUCAACCUGCAGACUGAAGGGUCCUGGGUUCAAUUCCUGGCAAGGGCA
rnacentral:tRNA from 1 species